rnacentral:rRNA from 1 species
UACGGGGGGGAGCAAGCGUUGUUCGGAUUUACUGGGCGUAAAGGGCGCGUAGGCGGUCAGCACAAGUCAGUUGUGAAAUCUCCGGGCUUAACUCGGAAAGGUCAACUGAUACUGUGCGACUAGAGUGCAGAAGGGGCGACUGGAAUUCUCGGUGUAGCGGUGAAAUGCGUAGAUAUCGAGAGGAACACCUGCGGCGAAGGCGGGUUGCUGGGCUGACACUGACGCUGAUGCGCGAAAGCCAGGGGAGCGAACGGGG